GUUUCAGUUUGACGGAGAGACUACCACUUGUAUAAAGCUAAUAUCAACUAGUGGAUCAACAUGGAAAGAAGCAAGGACAUUUUGUCAACAACAACAAGGUGGUGACUUAGUUAGCAUAGUAUCAAAGGAAAAAUGGGAUUUUGUAUUUGAUUACUUUAGUUAUGUUGGUAGGGCAUGGAUAGGGCUUAAAGAUAAAAGAUGGAUGACCGGCGAAAGUUUCCACGACAUUUUUGGGAUUACGGUACAACUUAAUGAUUACGAUGCAGAUUAUCCUACGGAAGUCGAAAAUACAUGCGGCAUAUUAACCCCAUUGUCAUCUACACCACUCCAAGAUGAAAACUGUAAUAUUCGUAAAAGGGAAAAUUUUCUUUGUGAAAUUCGUAUGUCACAAAAUUAGACUUAGCCUAAGUAUUUUUUUUUUAUUUAAUGAAAAAUUGUUAUUUUUGGCGACAAUUAAAGUUUUAUUGAUUAUUGGUG